rnacentral:rRNA from 1 species
UACGUAGGUGGCGAGCGUUGUCCGGAUUUACUGGGCGUAAAGAGCGCGCAGGCGGCUGGUCAAGUCCGAUGUGAAAGCUCCCGGCUUAACUGGGAAAUUGCAUCGGAAACUGAUCGGCUGGAAGGUGGGAGAGGGUAGCGGAAUUCCCGGUGUAGUGGUGAAAUGCGUAGAGAUCGGGAGGAACACCCGUGGCGAAGGCGGCUCACUGGGCUGACCUUGACGCUGAGGCGCGAAGGCGUGGGGAGCGAACGGG